GAGAAAGGGGGUUUGGGGGGACACGUGUCACCCUAUGGUUCCCCAAAAGCCGGUUGGGUCGGAAGAUAUCCGGUUUCAUUCGGAUUCGAAUUCGGGUUCGGGUAAAAUUUAGGAUAUCCGUACCCAUUAACGUCCCAAUUCUCCGCUCCCUCACUGGCGGCACAGCUCCUCGUCACCUCGUCCCCUCAUACCCUCGUCUUCCUCCCUCCCCUUCCCCUUCCCCAUCCCGAUCCCCAUCCCCAAACUCUUCAUUCCUCCUCGCUCCCGAUGUGGCGUCGCCGCCUCUUCGGCCCCGUCACCACCGCCGCUCUUCAUUCCUCCUCGCUCCCGAUGUGGCGUCGCCGCCUCUUAGGCACCGCCGCGGCGGCCUUGGAUGGGGAAUACGAGGGACUCCUUUCCAUUCUCGAGGAGAAGAGGACUGUCUUUAUAAACGGACCCAUCACGGAGGACACCGCGUUCGAUGUGCUGCUCAAGUUCAUCAGUCUCGCGAGAACUAAUAAUGCGCAGCGGGUUCAUCUGUUGAUAAAUUCUCCGGGGGGACUUGUUUCAGCUGGACUUGCAAUAUAUGAUAUCAUUCAAAGCGUUCCAACCCCUGUCGCCACGUUAUGUGUGGGUGAGGCUGCAUCAAUGGCGUCACUCAUCCUCGCCGCAGGCGCUCCCGGCCAGCGCCGUGCCUUGCCGAACUCUCGGAUCAUGAUCCAUCAGCCGUCAGGCGGUUUUCUGGGACAGGCGACUGAUGUGGCAAUUCACAAUCAAGAAAUUCUUAGACUCCGGAAGCGCCUUUAUGCUAUCUAUGCCAGGCACACCCGGCAGCCUGUGCACCGGAUCUCCCGCUUCAUGGAGCGGGACACAUUCAUGUCUCCUGCAGAGGCGAAGAAAUUUGGGCUGAUCGACGAAAUCAUCCAGAGCUGCCCCAUAGCAACUGCUGGCGGAGGAGGCGGCGGCGGCGGGAAGCCUGAGACGGAGGAAGGAGGUGGCGGUGGCGGCAAGCGCGAGGCAGAAGACUAAAGGGAUGUAUCAAAUUAGAGAGGCAAAUCAAAUGACUGAGGAAUUUAUGCUGGCUGCCAAUGUUGCUGUUGCAGAAAAGAUCUUGAAACAUUUUCCAUUGGUCUCCUUACUAAGGCGGCAUCCCAGCCCCACCAAAGAGAUGCUUGAACCAUUAUUACGUACUGCAACUGCUGUCAGCCUGGAUUUGGAUGUAUCAUCUUCUAAAGCAUUAGCUGAUUCACUUGAUCGAGCAGUGAGUGAUGAUCCGUAUUUCAAUAAGCUGAUCAGGAUUCUGGCAACUAGAUGCAUGACCCAGGCAGUAUACUUCUGCAGUGGAGAUUUAAGCCCUUCUGAAUUUUACCAUUAUGGGCUUGCAGCACCUCUCUAUACUCAUUUUACUUCUCCUAUUCGCAGAUAUGCAGGUUAGUUAUUGCUACUUUAACAGAGUGAGAAUCUCUCCUCUUAGUCUUUAUGAAUGGCUAAUUUCGGAGAGGCAACACAACAGAUUUUGCAAUACUCCUUUGUGAUUGCAAUCAACCUAUUCUUUUUGUUAUCUCA